GUGGUACUCCCUUCGUCCAGAAAUACUUGUCAUCAAUGUAUCUAGAUGUAUUUUAGUUUUAGAUACACCCUUUUUUUUUCAUUUUGAUGACAAGUUUUUUCGAACGGAGGGAGUAGAAG
rfam:Triticum aestivum genome assembly, contig: Triticum_aestivum_CS42_TGACv1_scaffold_321408_4BL